CUCAGCUAGUGAAGGUUUGGUGGUCAAAAGGUCCAUGGAAGAAGCUAAUGAUAACUGAUGAUUCACUGGGACAUUUCUGGGAAGACUUGCAAAUUUCCCUGCAGCUAUCAUUCUUGGUAAGUCAGAGCACGGCUGCGCAGGCUCUAUGGGCGGCGUGCGGAGAAUCCAACAGGUGGCUCCGUGGCGCAAUGGAUAGCGCAUUGGACUUCUAGAGGGUGAAGCGAUUCAAAGGUUCCGGGUUCGAGU